AGAAAAUAUUUUGAUAAUCUUAUUUUUUUUUUUCCUACCACACGAACCAUUAGGAACUUCCAACCUCGAGACUAAGAUGCCGAUACCUGAUAAAAUAUGUUGCUCUUUCAGUGAUAUUGACUGCUGCCGGAGUUCUCAUUGCUGCCCUUGGAGAUUUUUUCUCAUGGCCUUUGUUUCCGUUUUUUUUCCAGACCAUGUACCUUGUGCUGGUGGAAAAAUCUGGUGCUGAGGACGGACUUUCAUCCCUGGAAAUCAUGUUCUAUAACAGCUUUUUAUCUCUUCCAUUUUUUAUGUUUCUCAUCAUAGCCACUGGGGAACUCCCAAAUUCUUUAUCUGUAUUAUUUGCAAAGUUAAUUCAGCCUUAACUACUACAACUAUUGUUGGCGUUCUCAAAGGGAUUGUUUCCACGACCCUUGUUUUCUUCUUACUGGGUGGUGUUCAAGUCCAUGCUUUGAAUGUGUCUGGAUUGGUUAUCAAUACAGCUGGUGGUGUGUGGUAUUCAUUUGCUAAAUAUCAGAAGAGAAAAAGUAAGGCGGUGAAGCUAGUAACAGAAGCGGAGGCUCAUUGUAAAUAGAAGUGGCAUCAAUUAGUUGUGGUGAAAAGUGAAAACUAACAGUUACAUGAUUGUUUCUUUACUUUGAUUUACUAUGAUUGUAAACACUGCUAGUUUAGUGUUUAUUUUUUUUCCUUAUAGUUUUACUGUAAUUGCAGGCUCACAUAGUCUGAGCCUAAGAUGUAGUAUUACUGACAUGAUAUUCGGAAUUGAGUAAAAUAAUUGUACUCUUGUGAUUCCAA